CUCCUCUACUGGGACACUGAUUUACCCUUUGUAAUUCUCUGUUGAUGUAAGUGGGUGGUGAGGCUCCCCAUCAAGGACGACUUGGCUGUGACCCGGAUCUAGCGAUGCAGGUGUAACCCUUACUGUAAGGUCCACCUUAAUGUAGGCACUGUAUAUCCCCAUGCUGUCUAGUUGUUUGUUUAGGGUAUUUUAUGGCAUACUCCCAAAAAUAAAGUAAAAUUCUUUUUAGAUGGACCACACCACAUGAACCAGGGAUUAUUGACCAUUAAAAGUCUUUUGUGUGCCACAAAAGUUUUGGAUCAAGCUGGUAUUUAAUUUUCCCUUUUAUCCAUAUCAGUUUGACGUUAUCAACCGGUUAGAUGGUUAAAAAACAUUACUGUAGGCCCUAGGACAUUUUAAUGGUAUGCAUUCAGCAAACACCACUUACAGUGGUGUAGUUCACUUUGAAAUUUAGUUCUCCAUCACAUUGGAAACGCAUUAAAAUAAGCUGGAAAAACGGAUAGAUUACGUAGGUAUACAUUGUAUACAUUAAGAUGGGAUGGGCCCCACAGUCAGGGGUCACACUCACAACACUUAUUAUGGGGAACGGAUUGUCUGCGACCCAGGGAUAGAGAUGGAGCUGUGUGGGGUCCACAUAAAUGUGGGUGAAAAAUCCAUUUUGUUCAUUUGUUUUGAAAUGCCACGGUAGAGUUUUGUAUGAAGAUGAUAUUUGCACCAAUGGUCGAUCUGAGUGUUAAAGAUUCUAUGAACGGUUUGGAUGGCUUAUGAAUAACAUGGUCGGCUCCGCCAUGGCUUCAAUGGGGUA